GAGAGAGGAUGAGGUUUCACUUCUGGUCCGUGUUUCUGAUGACAUUGAUGAUUUUGAAGAUCUGAUCUU